AAGACAUCAGCAAUCCGGCACAGAGAAAAGAAAAAUAAAGUAAAAAACAAAACAAAAACAGGCAUAAAGUUGGCUUGACAUUGGACAUUCGAGAGUCUCAAAUUUAGGGACCGUCUCUAAAGUUACAUGUGAUAUUGUUAUACACUUUUCUAACAUCAGUAGCAUUUGAAGAGAAUGACUUACAGUCAUAAAAACAACUGUAAUUGUUCAUCUAGGUGACAGCUAUAAUGCACCAUUAAAUUGAAUGUUUGAUAUGUAUUAAAACAAACUGUAAGUCAUAUGUAAAUUAUGCUACUUUUUCACAUGGGCUCAAAAGCAAAUUUGAAGCUCAAUAGCAUUUGAGGAGAAAGACUUGCAGUCAUAAACCAAUUGUAAUGUGUUCAUUUAGGUGUCAGCUACGAUGCACAACUUAUACAUUUUUUAUAUAUAUUAAAAUAAAGUGUUACUAAAGUUAUAUA